ensembl:lncRNA
UUUUUUUUCUUUUUCUUUUUUUAAGUUAAUAUGCUUCUCUUACAGUUGGAUGGAAACUAUUUUGGAUGGAGUUUGAGAGAAUACAAAUAACAUUUUUAAAUGAGCCAAUUAACACAAAAAAUUAAAUAAUUAAAUACUUUUAAGUUUGUAAAUACAUAUGAAAACAGUCGAAGGCUGAGGAAAAGUUAUUUAAAUAAAUUGUUGAAGUCAACAAAAAACACUCAAUCUCUAAGAAACUAAGAAUCCUUGAAAAAUCUAGGCAUUUCCUGACAAUGUGAAAUAAUUUAAUAUUUCAUCUCAUUCUCCCUGAAAAGGAAUUGAAAAGUAGAAAGAGCUUGGAGUUAGAAUCCUUCUAGGCUCUGUCACCACAAAUAAGUUUUAGAAAUCUGAUAUAUUCCUUAAAAAUAUUUCUUUAAUUUUCUCAUUUGCUAAAUGUUUGAUGUAUUCCAUAGAGUGGCUAUGGCUCAUAGCAGAAAAGGAUGUAAAACCACUUAUUCAAUAAUGACAGAUUGCAAAGCAUUUUGUGUAUAGAUAAUACCUGUUUAAUGGUGUUAGCCAUGGUAUUAUUAUAAUUAAUGCUUCCUUGUACAAAUUGUAGGUUGCUUAAGAGUGGUAGUUUUUCUGUUCCUCUUUUGUUCAGCAGCUAGCAUGGUGUGUACACAUAGGAAUUGAUUAAUAAAUGUUUUAGUGAGUAAUUAAUCUCCUAUCUUAAUUUCCUACUUGGCUUCUAUGUGGGAUGAGGAUGAGUAAAUUUCUUUUCAUAGUCAGUAUUUAUUUGCCACAGUGAGGCAAAUUUAGUUACUAUAUUCUCACAUCAGAUUUAAGAAACUUCAACAACUAGAAACAGUUUUAUUUGAGCAAAGUAAAUUAUUUUUUACUGGGCAAAGGUCUUUAGUACCAGCAUCUAUUAAAAUAUUCUGAGGCAGUUCAACUCAUUAAUUGGUCAUUGCCAAGCAAAUCCUCCAUGGAUUGUCAUUUCUUAAGUAUAUUUGACAACGAUGAUGCAGAAGAUGAGGGAGAUGCAGCAGAACACCAUAAUUGUCACUUAAAUUCACAAAACCACUUACAUAAUCUUUUUUAAUUAUCAUAGUGAAGAAGAAAGUAACUAUUAAACUUGAUAGUAUUACAAAUAGUACCUGUUUUCUUCAUCACUUUAUACACAGUUCUUAGUACAGUGCCUGGCAUCCUAAAAGCUUAUCAGUUUACUUGUAGGAAGAAAACUAUUGUAAGUUAAAAGGGAAAAAAAAUUAGAAUGCAAGUAACUCCAGUAAAAUAAUGGCUUCUUAUUACAGAGCUUCUUUUUAAAAAGUCAUCUUCAAUUAAAUACAAGUAUUGUUUCCUGAGUGUAAUCUAAUAUUUCAUGAUAUAUCUAUAGUAAGAUGUCAAUAACAACCACUAUUUUAGUAAAUAAAUUAUUUCAAUGAAAUUAUAAGAAUCAAAUUUAUUUUUCAUAAUUUAAAUGUUUUAUGAUUUAUUAAUUUAAUGAAAUGUUUCAAGCUUACAUAUUUGUAUCAGAUGGAAUGUACAUCUUUAAUAUGAUUACACUAGUAACAUUUUAAGACGACCUCAAAUAAGUUUUAGUUUUUCUACCAAUUUUGCACUGAUAAACUUUAAAAAUCAGAGAGGCAUUUAAAUUGGCAUUUUCUGCAUUUUGGUCCAAACAAUUAAUCUCAGGUUUCACUUAAAUUGGUCACUGUGAAACCUGAUAUUGUAGUUGCCAAACUAAAAUGCUCCUGCAAAUUAAAACAACUGAAAGUAACUAUAUGAAUUAUGUAUAUGAGAAAUAUAUAAUCUAAAAUUUUCUUUAGUCACUUCUAAACACUACCUUAGUGAUGCUAAUCUGGUAAACUUGAUAAACAUCUUCUGGUUCCAAUGGAAUGUAUGCUGAUUAGAACACUUCAUGUUACUACACAGUUAACUCAGAAAGAACAGAAUCAUCCAUUGUAUAGAAUCAAGUAGUGGUCAAUUAAAAUUUUAGAUGACUUUCCUAUAAAGGUAUUAAUUACUCUACAAGGCCUAGCUUUAAAUACAACACCCUAUGAAAUAUAAUUAUUUCCUAUUUGUUAGUUUAUCCUAUUUAUGACUCCUGAAAUUCCAUCCAAAUUUAUCUUUUCACAAGCAGUGAGAAAAGUGCAAAGGUAUUUAGAAAUUUGGAGUCUUAGAAUUUUAAAACUGAAAUGAGUAUUACUUUAACAGAUAAAAAAAUCAAAUCAAAUCAAAGGCCCACUUUUAUAUAAAAACCUUGGUAACUGGUCUCUAGGUCACGAAUUUGAAAACGACUCAAAAAGUAAUGGUAUCAAUAACAACCAAAGUUGCUUACAAAGCAGACUUCAGCUAACAAGCCAGACCAAAGCUGCAUACUCCUUAACUAAGGAAAAUAAUCCAAACUUGGCUAAAAUCUGUGUUUUCCUUCCACGUGAAUUUUAAAUAAAAAUUUAAAUUUAAAGGAAUUCUAAUUCCCUUGCUAACAGAUUCCUAUAUUGACAGAUUUGAAAAACUGACCAAAAAUAAUCGAGUAAAAAAAAAAAAAAAAAAGGUGGCAUCUGAAACCACAUAUCAGAAUUUGCCAGAAACACAUGCAAAAUCUGUCUGCAUCAAAUAAAGAUAGAGUUUAUAUAUAAUCUUACUUAUAUCAUUUUAUAGGUGAAAUAUUGAGGACCAGAGGGGUUAAGCUGCCAAUAUACAGUACUAAUACAUAAGCUACUAAUACAUACGCAACCAGACAUAUUACCUUAGAAUACUUCUAAGCUUCUUUCCAGGCCAGGGCUGCCCAACAGAACUUUUUGUGAUAAUGGAACAUUCCAUAAAACCUAGCACUGGAUUAUGACCAUAACCAAGACUAAACCUCCUCCAUGUAAUUUUUCCCAUCAAGAACCAUUCCACAAGCCUUGUACAGAUCUGAAUGAGAUGCAAUCAACUCAAUAAAAACUCCUGUCUGUGAGGGACUUCUAUGUAGCACUGUGGAAAUAAAAUGUUCAUGAUCUAGUCCAGAUCAGUCUCCUACAAAAAAGUAAAGAAAAAUGCAAUGUGAAAUAACUCUCAAAAAUAAUGUAUGUUGUAGGGACACUAAGAACAUGUUAGAAAAUAGUAAAGAAAAGAAUAUAAUUGCUUACAAGUGUACUAUCUAAUUUUUCAAAGGAAUUCCUUAGGAUAUUUACUUAAACAAAUUUUAUUUGUAGAUGACCUUGGCCAUUUCUGACAAAUAGUGAAAGGGACUGGAGAGAAGAAAUUAAAAACCACCUUCUAUCUCCGAUAAAAUCAGAAUUGACUUCAGUAUUAAAAAUAUGCAGAUCUGGGUUGUUUUUGUUUAGAUACAAUUAAAAAGAAACUGAUUCAUUUUUCACAUGGCUAAAACAGUAAAAGCAGGAUAAUCUAGUGCUAUAAAACCAGGGAUGUGCUUUUAACUUGCCAGUUGUUAUGCACAACUCUAAGUACAUCUUAGGAAAAAAAAAAAAAUGGGAAGAACUGAUCCAUUUUAGGCACUGAUUAUAGAGAUCAUGGAAAUAGGCCUUGGCUCUGUGGCUGAGCCAUCAAGGCAAGGAGGAAAAAACCCAUAGCCAGGCCAACAGAUUAGAAUUUACAAUCCUGCUUAGAACUCUAUCACAAACCACUUUCUAAUGUGACAUUGGGCAGGGUCAUUUCACAUUCUGAGCCUUAAGUUCCAAUAUUUAAAAUGGACCAACAGAUUAGAAUUUACAAUCCUAAUUAGAACUCUAUCACAAACCACUUUCUGAUGUGACAUUGGGCAGGGUCAUUUCAUGUUCUGAGCCUUAAUUUCCAGUAUUUAAAAUGGGUACAAUGAGACUUACCUCAUAGGGUUAUUUUAUGAAUAAAUUAGAAAGAGUCAUAUAAAAUGUGUAGCAUGUAACCAGUAUAAAAGACACCUGAAUAUUUACCUACCGCCGUUAAACCAUUCUAUGUGAGCAAAUAGGGAUAAAAGCAUUUAAAUUAAACCUAACUUUAAUUUUAACAUAUUUAACAACUUUUUUUACACUAUACUUCCUUCUUGCAAAAGAAAAUUGUAUACAGAGUAACAGCAAGAAUUUGAAUGCCAACUGAUUUCCAAAAUGGUAUAGUAUAAUUAGGAAAUUCAUGAGUCAAAUUCCUGUUUAUGCCUGUAAUGUAAAGGCUAAUCAUUUGUUUGUUUUCUAUAAGAAGGACUUGAUUAAAGCCUCUUGCAGCAAUAAUUAAAUAACCCCGUGCUUGGAAGCUACAGGCUCAGCUAGCACUGAGGUGUGCUAAAACCCAUAAUUAAUGCAUAGGAGUGUGCGUAAAUUACCAAAUGAGUGUCACUUACACUGACAGUACAAAUAUAAGUUUCUUUCUUUUGUAAUUAUCUCCAUGUUUUCUGUUAACCGUUACAAGUUUAUAAACGCAGUGUAAUAUAAACAGCAUUCUAACAUCUAUAUACAGCCAUGAUCUAGAUAAGGAGUUUGCAAACUUUUUAGAAACUUUUCUAUAAAGUGAAUAUUUUAGGAUUUGCAAGCUAUAUAAUCUCUGUUGCAACUACUCAACUCUGUCAUUUUAAUGUAAAAGUAGUCACAGAUAAUACAUAAACAAACAUGCAAGGCUGUAUUUCAAAAAAUCUCCAUUAAAAAAAAAAAAAAAAAAAAAACGGGGAUUGGGGCCAGGUUUAACCCAAUGGUCUAUAUGACUAUAGGUCAUAAUUUGCCUAACUUUGAACCAUAGCCUACUGACCCCUGACCUAUACCUAAUUCUCAGGUAGAACAAUGUACUAUGUUAUCUGAGAAAAUAAAUAUUUAACAACAGGUAAGGGCAAUGGAGUAUAAACCUGAUGUUAAAAAUUGAUAAGUUUCUGUAUUAUUAUGCCUCCUCAAACAUGAGUUAGAAAAACCACAAAUGUUUUUGCUGUAAAAAUCAAGGGACUCAAGAUUUG